AAACUGUAAAAGUGACACAUUCACUGUAAACUCUAAACCUAUAACACAUUUACUGUAAAUUGACAUCAUUCACUGUAAACUCAUUCACCUAUAACACAUGCACUGUAAACUCAUUCACUGAUAACACAUCACCUAUAACACAUCAUCAUCAUCACUACUAAACUGUAAAUUGACAUAAGUGUAUUAGAUUCUUACCGUAAGCCCGUCUAUCAACUUCUUCUUCUCAGAGUCACUGAUGCAUUCCCAGUUUCCGGCCGACAAUCUGACUUUGGAUCGAAUUAUGCGACCAAUGCUAUUGACCAGGAGGCUGUUCACUAAUGAUGAAGACGGUCCUCUGAUGAAGUCGUCAUACACAACUUCGAUCAAGCCGGAAACUUUCACAAUUCGUUUCACCUUGUCCAGGUUGCCGAACCCUCGUCGGUGUUUUGGGGGAGGUCCGGUGGACUUCUGAGUACCACGUCGAACACUGCAACCAUCGGACAGCGUUGCCUGAGCUUCUGGGGCGACAUCGUCGAUGUCGUCCUCAUCCAGUGGAGGAGCUGUAGACGCAAUCGAGGCUGGUGGUGGAGGUGGAGUGGUUUCACCAUCUCCCGUCGGUGACUGCUCAGCAACAUCUCCUGUCAGCCCCGCCGUAUUCGCCGUCGUGCCGGAACCAAAUUGGGCAGCACAAGCCGAUCGUAAUCUCUCCGACGCAAUCUCCCUGGACCUUUUCUUCUACAAUGGUGCCAUGCUUGGGAUUGAAACUCGGUUUAGAUGGUAGAGGGGAGAGCGAAGUCGAAUUGGGAUUCAGGCUGAAAUUGGGAUUGGAAUUGGGAGGACGAAUUUGGGAGAGAAGCUGGGGAGGCGAAUUGGGAUUAGGGUUUAGGGUUUCGAAACUGGGGAGGGAUUAGGGUUUCGAGUGAUUCUGGGAACGAGGUCGAAGCAGUGAUUCCGGGGAGUUAUUUCGUGAUAGAGUUCGAACUGGGUUUGGUUUAUUUAGUUAUAGAUCAAGCGACGAAGUUAGUUAUUUCGUGGCCCAAUCUAGGUAUUCGAAUUUUGGCCCACAUAUUUGGCGCAAAACUCGUACGCGCUAUAUUUUAGGCCCUUUGCGACGAAUAACUCUUUUUCGUCGCUUAGGACAUAUCUGUAGCGACGAAUUUAUAAUUUUUAAUCGCAAAAAAAUAAAUUGAUGUAUAUUUUCAUUGUAAUACAUUAAUUUAAUAAUUAAU
rnacentral:lncRNA from 1 species